rnacentral:piRNA from 3 species
UAAAAUGGAUUUGAGCAGCUGAGUG